rnacentral:lncRNA from 1 species
CUUGGCAGCUGGCUUGGCUGCCUACUGCUUUACCUUUAGGUGUUUUCAUGUGUCCACCCAGUGAGAGUGUAGCUACCUUUGAGGCUCUUGACCAGUGUGCUGAUCAACUCUGUUAGAAGUACAGGCUCCCUGACAUCACUCCUGUUUCCUUGUAAGAUUGUAGGGUAUGGCUUCUGGAUGGAUAUUUAAUGGGGACUGACAUGUGUUCAUGUCAACAUGAGAAUUAUUUAGGUUAAAAUAUAUUUUUUAUUUGUAUUGGGAAAAAAAUUAAACAACAGAGGAACUGGAAGAUUAACAUUGGUUUUUUUCCAAUGCCCCCCCCCAAUAAAACACUAAAACCAUUAUUUCUCUUUUGUGUUGGCACUGUAUAAAUGAUGUGUUUAAUGGAAAACAGAACAACAGAAAACCUCUUCUCUAUUUGUAGUGGGCACAAUAUUAACCAUGUUUGUUCUUUGAAGAAACUUGGGUACAUGAGAAAGGGCAUUUUGCCUUCAAUUUUCAGAUAAGCCCUUAAGAAAAAGUUAGUCAUUCAGAGAUGUACAGAGUAUCUGCUAAGAUGUGACAGGCAUGUUUUGUUUUGAGUUUUUUGUUUUGUUUUGCUUUGUUUUUUAUUCCUAAUAAAUGUAUUUUGUUUCAGCUUAUAUAAGUGUCUUUUCUUUAGGACAGUAGUCAAGUUAAAGUUAUAAGAAUAUUUUCUGAAAAGCAUGUCCCAGGAAUUCCUGGAUUGUUUUGUUCAUUUUAGGUGUGUGUGUGGGGGGGGGGUGCUUGUAUGAGUGUGUAUGUUUGCAACCUACUAUCAGAUAAGGUGUUUGUCAAAAGGCCACUAGAUUAUUCUGGGGGUGUUAGUUGUAAAGGCUAAAAGAAAGCCAGUUCUUCACUGAAGAUCCUCUUGUUUUAAUGUAUUAAUUCUUAGAAAUUUUUAUAAUUCUAUUUUGAUCAUAUUUACCCCCAUCUCCUCCCAGGCCAUCGUGUCUUCAUUUUUUAGAAACUCAAUCUAAGUCCAGUUUUUGUUGCCUAUAUUCUCUUAGUUAUGUGACCAUCCACUAAAUCACAGUCAAGCUACUACAACCUUCUUUUAUCUUAGGCCUGUAUAAAGCACCGAAGAGUUCUACAAAACAAGGUAUUGGCAUUCUGCUCUCUACUGCUUAGGAAACAAGGAGGUCACUUACUUAAAGAGCUGUAUUUGAAAUUUGGGCUUUAAACAUAAGCUGCCCAAACCAUUCUCAACACGAAAAUGCAGAGACUUGGCACAGUGAUGCAUACGUGCAGUGCUAGCACUUGGAAGACAAGAGAACUGGGAGUAGAGACAAACCUGAGCUAUAGAGAGAACCUGUCAGAGAAGGGAGGGAAUGAGCGAAUGAGAGCCCUGAAUGCCAUGUGAAAUAGGUCAAGUGGCUAAUGGAGUACUUACUGGUGAUAUGGAGGUGAGCCGAAUGAGGCUUGGGCUGCAGGGUUUGCUAGAUGUACAAAGGUGGUGAGUGGCAGGGCCUAAGGUGGUCACACUUGAUUGUGUUGUCUCUUGUUUCUUCCAGCAUGGUGUGCUUUCUUAUCUCUGACCAAACAGUUUGUCAAAAUUGUUUGAAAGAAGCUGGAAAGGAGACCAAUUAGCUUAUCUGAAGAUGAUAUUGUUUCAUUACAAGCGCUGUGGAUACAGCAGCCGGCCAUGUUUCCUUCUGCUUUCUUACCCACUCACCCUUUCAGCAUGGACAGCAGGGAGCUAUGUGCUGACUGAGAACCACCUACAAAUAGCUGGAGUCUGAUGAUAAUCAAAAUCCAUGGCUUCGAAGCUUAAUUGUUAGAAGUAUAAAUAUGUUAAGGCCCUGCCUGUUCUGAAGUUAAAUAUUCUUCCCAGGAGAUGGAUGGGUGGGUAGUCUGUGCUUAUUAUAAAGGAUCUGCUGGCUUGUGUUGCAGCUUCAUGGUUGUAUCGUUAAUCUUUGGUUGUACGGAGCAGGAGGUUACAGUUAGCCCUGGGGAGUUUCUAGCCCCCCCCCCCUUUUUUUUCUGGAGACCUUUGGAGUCUAAAGGUUGGAUCAGGUUUGAAUUCCAUGGCCUUAUUGCUUCAGGGAUGCUCUUUUCUUUCUAGAGGGUGACCUUGCUUUUGCGGUGACCUGUUGUUCUUGAAUUUCUGAUUCUGUCUAGUUAUGUAGGGGACUGUUCUUCCUGUCUGGUCUACCCCAGCCUUGGGAAGUGAUUUGUCAACUCUGCCCUAGAGCCGGCUGGAGAGAGUUGGCAAACUCUCCUGCCCUGCUGUGAAUCCCUCAGGCUUGUGAGGGAGGACAGAUGGUAGGGCUAAGCUCGGAGCCACCUCUCUACGUAAUGAUGAAAAAUGACCAGGCUCCUGGUAAAUGGAAAUCAGGAUCCAAGCAACUUUGAAUUCUGGGAAAUGACUUUGAAAUCAACCUGGAGUGAAGGAAGAGUUGUUUUUUUCUUAAUUAACAGUCUGCCCUUGUUAUGUUUUGCACUUGAAUGUAGGAAAGGUUUUCCUACAUGUGUGCUCACCCAGGUGCAUACUGUACUUGGACUGCUGAGCCCAGGAGGUAGUCCUGUGUGUUCUUUGGGGUAUAAGUAAUGUCUGUAAAUGCCAGGGAUGCCUGGCAGGUUCUCAGAAGGGUGUAGAGUUGCCCUCUGUGGGUCAUGAGCAUCAUGAGAUUCACUGUGUACGUGGCCCUCUUCAGGUUUGCCUGCCUCCCCCAUCACUCUCACUAAAGUCGUGGUGCCUGGCAGUCCAUGCCUCCAGGCUCCUGUGUCUGAAGUCAGUAGUAUCAUGUAGUCUCUAGGAGAUCCUCUCCUCGUGUUGUCUCCAUGAAGCAUGAUAUUGGGGCUCUUGUAUCUCCCAUCUUACUUCUCUAUUAUUCCUAUCCUUAAGUUGUCCGUUUGUCCUCCAGGACCAUAGCCACAAAGGCAAUCGAUCUGUGGAAUAUAGCAUCCUAGCCUCAUCUCUGCUCUACCCAUCUUGUCUAACCCAUGAGUUAUUUGGUUAAAGUUUAUAAUUUCUAUAGGCAUUCAUUUUUUUCUCCUUUAAGAAUGAUACCUACCUCAAAGUAUUGAUGAAACUAUCAGCAUAAUUCCUGAUACUAGGUACAUGUUCGAAAGAUGUUAGCUGUUGGGCUGAAAUACAGCAUAGCAGAUAAGAGUACUGGCUGCUCUUCCAGAGGACUUGGGUUUGAUUCCUAGCAUACACAUGGUGGCUCACUACCAUCUCUUAACUCCAGUCCCAGGGGAUCCAGUGCCAUCUUUUGGCCUCCCCAAGCACCAGGUAUAGACAUGGUUCAUAGACAUACAUGCGAGCAAAACACCCAUACAUAUAUAAUUUUUUAAACAAUUGAAAAACAUGCUUGCUGCUAUUUCUCUUAUUACUAUUGUUUCCCUUACCACCCAAAGAAGAAAAUGAACAAAUCUCUUUGCUGAAGGAAUAAAAUAAAGUAAAAUAAAAUGGUAGCCCUAUGACUACCAUUGUCUUCGUCCUAACCAUUGGAGGCUGUGUUGAGUUCAGUAAACAGUGACAUUAUAAGAUGUAAGGCUUUCCUUUGCUUGGAGCUUUAUUGUGGGCCUAAGCAUUGCCUACAAACCUGAGGCUGUCUACUUGUCUGGAAGUAAAGAAUUUGGUCUAUGAGAGGGGUUCCACACCCAGUCUCAAGUUUUUGGAGGAUUGUUAGACUAGGAUAAAAAUCACAUGUGUCUGAUAGUGUCCCUAAGUAGCACACUUACUGUCUCUGUUACCAACUAAUUAUAAACAGAAAGUGACUUUCUGGGAGACUUGAUAAAAUCAACAAAAAAAAAAAAAAAAAAAAAAAGAGCAUGCCCCAUCUUCUUUUGUUUUGUUUCGACACAGAGUUUCACUGUGUCUUGCAACCCAGGCUGGUCUUGAAUAAGCUGUGUAGCUCAGCCUCCCAAAUCUAAGAAUAUGGGCCUGAGCCACUGCACCCAGCUGCGGGUCACAGUCUUGACCCUAUCUUUCACACGUUGAUGACAAAGGCUGUCUGGGUUCUUCCUUGCCAACACCAAUACCUGGAGAAGGUUUGUCUCUGGAUGCUUCACCAUGCCCAGUGCCCUGCUGCUGCUUUUCAGAAAGGGAGAAGUAAAAAGUAAUUAUUAAGAAAACUUCCCCACCGUCCCUGCUGCGGCUUCCUCUGACAGGCAAGUUCUUAAACAAGCAUCUUGAUAUUUCAGCAGAUGGUGCCGAGGUUUGUUAACGCAGCCUGCGGUAUUCCCAGUUCGAUCCUGCAUUUCUGGAUUCUUUGUAAUUAGCUCACAACAUGGGUGAAAGUGAGCUCAGUGUAAUCUAAACCCAGGGAGCUUGGAAAAGCAACAUCUGGCAGAGGAGGCAGGGCAGCUUCCCUCGCACUGCUUUCAGGGGAGUGGCCCCAGAGGUAAGCUUCAGGAGAUUAACAGCAGUGAGAAGUCAUUGCAGCUGGGUUCUGUAUUCUGCCCUGGCCGCCCAUUUGCUUCCAGGAACAAUGCAACCAAGUAUUAGCUUUCAUUUAUAAAGCCCUUUGUCCCUUUGUCCCCAGCCUAGUCUCAGGAAAAUCAAAUCUUGGUUCCCGCUGAACCAAGUGUUCAUUCUCCUUGUGAUGGCUAAUUUAGUUUGUCAGCUUAAGCUAUGUCUGGGACAUCAUUAAGCAGACCUUUGGGGAUUUCUUAACUGAAGGGGGAAAGCACAUUUUGAAUGUGGGUGGCAUUGUCUCUGGGCAGAGGUCCCUAUCUCAAUGGGAGAGGGGAAAAGGAGAACACAAGCCGAGUUGAGAACAGCCUGUACCUCUUUCUGCUUCCUGACCUACCUAGAUGUGAACAGGCACCCUUCUCUUUCUGCUCUGCCUUGCCUGCCCCGCCACAGUGAGCUGUACCUUCUCCACUCUUAAGUCUAAAGAAGUCUUUCCUCCCACAGUUGCGUUCAGGUAUUCCAUUACAGCAGAGAGCAAAGUAUCGGAAAAAGUCCUUACCGUUAUGUGUGAUUAGAAAUCCUAUACGGAAGAUUGCUACCAUUUUAGAAAAAAUACAGAAACGAGAUUUUAUAAGCAAACAGCAUUUCUAGUUAAGUUGUGAGUCUAGAUGUGAGCAAGAGACUUUACCACUUUAAGUAUGAUACUAUGUUCCUAGUGGUAUAGGAAGUGAUACUUUCUUUGUAGAAGAGACUGUUACAUCCAAUAGAUACUGGUGGAUAUGUAAGUGGUCCCUAGUGGAUUAAUGUGAUACAGCAUCCUCUGCAGAGGCCUCCAGUUAUUGGAAGUAGUGAUGCCCUUCCCCAUGAUGUGGGACCUGGGAGACACAGUGCUGGUUGGCCAUAUGUUCACAACACAUCCCAUACAAGGUUUGGGGACCCAGAUAGGAAUUCUAGUACCUCCAAUGAUAGGGAGAAUGGGCAUGGAAUGUGAUCUUUUUAAACUGGAAUUCUCUUUUUCUCUAAGUGCAUGAUUCAGAAGAAAGUUCUUGUGAUGUCUUCUCUAGUACACCUUUGUGUCUUCGUCUACUAGCGACUGUUUUCUUAGCAGGCAUCUCACUCAGUAUUGAUAAGUUCACAUUAAGGAGUCAUUGUAGAUCGCUUUAAAAAAACGGUUUAAUGACUUACACAUUUCCACUCUAUCCCCGAAGUGAAGCUACAAGGAACUCAGUUAUUUUGUUUUUAUAGAAAAGGAAUUCUGAGAGUACCUGGGCAGUAAACAGUGGAACAGGGGUUUCACACCACGUUUAUAAGACUUCAGAAGUCUCUUGAUUGAGGCUAAAUGAAAAGAGUCUGUCGGCACUGGCUUCCCUUACUGCCUCUGCUUCUGGUUGUCUGACUUCCCCCCUAUGUAUAAUCUUAAUUUUAUCUCUUUCCUAUUUAUGUGCCAGUAUUCCAUGCUGCAAAGUAUUAGUAAUGGAACAGAGGAAAACCUCAGACCAGAGCUCUAAUUAACACUGUAAAUUUAUGGUCUAUUGUUCAGGGGGAAAACACCCUUUGGCACAACAAGGACAGGAUAUCAAUGAUGAGUUGGGAGGUUUAAGGAUAGAAUCCCUACUGCCCCAAGUGGAGGACGGCAGGCUGCUGUUUAUCAGGCUAAAAGGUUUGCUCCUGCUGUGUACAUGGAGGGCUAUCAAGGUUGUCUCCUACAGCCAGGAAAUAGUGUCAGGAAAGUGAGGGAGUUCUCUGAAAAGGGCUCUCUAAGUGAGGGUGUCUCACUGAUUUCAUGCUUAGAACUAACUUCAUCUGAGUUUCCUGUCUCAAUGGCCAAUGUGGGAUUAAUGGCCAACGUAUUAACGUUUCUGUAGUAAAUACCCAAAGCUUGGGCGCUGGGACCCAGGAUUCCUUUCCUGAAUGCUAGGCAAAGUUACUCCCAAGGAAUCCUCGUUGGCCAGAUGGAUCAGGGACGAAUUUCCAGAAUUAGUGCUGCACAGAGAAUUCUCUCUUGUGGACUAAUUCUCCUCCCCCUCUCUGAGGACCAUCUGUCUCAGGGGCACAAGAAGAAAUGGGCAUCUGUUCAGAUCUGUGCGGUUGGUGCCUGGACCUGUUCCUAUAAUCCUUCCAGCAGAGGACUGAGACAUCUUUGGAGCAACCCCCAAAUUUUAAAGUACUGUGGCCUUCAGGUAGGAAUUGUAGAAUGAAUACAAAAUAAUUUGGGUGCGAGUGGGCUAAGACUGUGGAUCAGGGUGAAGCACUUGCUAUGCAAAUAUGAGGAACUCCAUUUAGAGUGCCAUGGUGGUGUAUACCUGUAAUCCCAGGGGUAGUGACAAAGUGGGGUGGGAUGAUCAUUGUGACUUUCUGGCCAGCCACAAUAAUUAAAUCAGAGAGAUUCAGAUCCAGUGAGAAGUUUUGUCUGGAAAAUAGGACUCCAGACAUCAGCCUUACAUGUAUGCACAUGAAACCACUCCAUACCCAACGUACACAUGAACAUUUAUACAUUCAUACACUACACAUACAGACACACACAUUAUUUUUUAAGAACCUGGUUUUAUAGAACAGAACAUGUGAUCUACCGUUCUAGAGCCAAAGAUAAAGUAUUUUCUAUAAAGAAGUAGUAUUUUAGACUUUGCGGCAAUAUAAUUUGUGCUAUAACUACUAUCCUGAUAUUACUCCGAAGAACAUUUCUGUUGAUAAUGUAUAAGGAAGUAAUGUGGCUGUGUUCCAAUAAAACUUUAUUUGCAAAAUGGCGAUGAUUGGCAGAAUUUGGUCUGCAGGCCGUGGUUUGUACCUUACAACUACUAGUAUUCAGUAUAUGUGGGAGAUUUCUCCCAUCUAAAAAUUAUUAUUCAUACAGUAUAUUGAUAUAUCAGCUGAUGUCAAAUUUGUAUUCCUUAAAUUUUAAACGUGUGUAUGUGAAUGUGCAUGCUUGCAGCUGUGCAUGGCAGGCGUGGAGGUGAGAGGAGUCAGGUUAAUCUCGGGUCAGCAGGUUUUUGGCAAGCACCCUUACCUGUUCGAAAGCCUCACUGUUCCGUCCCUUGCUUUUAAGGAUUGUGUCUAAAUGGCUGCCCUCCUCCACUCUGCUGCUCUCUGUUUAUUCUCAGGCUUCUUUAUUUGAAACUCGGAUUUCAAAGUGAUGUCCGAUGUAGCGCCAGGUACCUUUGAAUAUCAAUCAGAACCAUUUAGAUAUGAUACUUAAAACCAAGCUUGACUAGUUUGGUCUCAGGGCUUUGCUGAGUGUGCUGCGUGAAGAAGGAGUUAACAUUGUUGAAUAGACUGUACUUUCCUUCUAGGCUUUUCCCAUAUGUGGGUUGGAGUUAGUUGUUCAGCAUGAAACUAACAACUUCCUUCCGGAGAUGCUGUGGGUGGCUCAGCAUAUCGCAGGCACAGGGAUGGAUUUCGGCCCAGUACCUUUGUUCCCUUUCCUGGUUUGGCGCUGAGAGGAUGCACUGAGAGGGGAUAGCUGCAGAUGUGAAGACCCUAACAUUGUCAGUUCCAGCAGAGCUGAUGGUCCCUGUCCCUUGGUGGGCUUAAAUGCUUUAUCUCCAGACUCAGGGUGAACAGUCAAGGCUCGGAGAAUGGAUUAAAAGUUGUUUACAUUACAAGCUAGAAUGUGACUGUCAAUCAAAUGUCCUACGUGACUUUGUUUCAUGUCCUAUCUUUCCAUUCUUUGUGGGGAGUGAGUGGUAGUAAUUGUGCCCAUCUGACAGUUCUGCUUAUACUGGUCAAUUAAGAAAGGCAACGUUCUAUGAAGUCUGCUAUUACUCUUUUUCUUUGUGACCAGGGAUAUGGGGAAAGUAGAGAUAAUUUUUGUUGUUGUUGUUGGUGGUGGUGGUGGUUGGUUAAAGGACAAUGUUAGUUAACAUCUCGACAUCAUUUCCUUCAGCUGGUGAGUCAAAAGACCCAUCAGUUGUCUCUACUCCACUUAAAUAUCUCAGUGUUGGAUACAUCAAAUGCUAACAGCAUCUUUCUGCACCAGAGAUUUGCUUUUGCUAGAAGUCACUGCCAGGCAACAAGGAGAAGAAUGAAUGAACACUGGAGAGUGGAAGAGAGGUGGAACAUGAGUGAGGACUUUUCUAUACAACUCCCGUCGGUCCAGUGAACUCCAAGCCUCUGUGCAGCUAUUGGCAAUUAAUAGGAAUUAUGCAGAAGUCAAUGAAAAUAGUAAUUAGAAUAAUUGCCUCUGAUCUUCUUGGGCUGUAUUAUAUUUAUUCACUUAACAUAUUUCAUAUUGACAGAUGUGUCUGGAGUCUUACAAAGGACCUCUGUCCAAGAAGAGAGGAGGAGGGUAGGAAAUAUUAUUGGCAUAUAUUUUUAUUUUUCAGUGUUUAGAAAUUGAAGAUUCUUGCUACUAUACUGUUCUUCAGGAUUGCAGAGAGAGUUAAGAAAAAAGAUGUAUGUCUAUAAAAUAAAAAUCAAUUUAUUUACAAUUUCGCAAAUAAAAGCAAUAUUUUCAGGUUACAGGAAAUAGUCAUCUUUUCAUGCUCCCUAAGCAUAAAAAAUCUUAUUGCAAGAUGUAAUAAACUCCUCACUUGCCUCUUAAGAGGAUAAGAAAGGUAGUCAGGAAUGAAUGGUCCAUGAGGACUGAUGAGGACAGGUCUGUCAGGGUGCUGUGGAGGAUGAAGGGACUCUUCUCGCCUCCCUGGUAGGAACAGUAAAUAAGCCAAGGCUCAUAAAGAUGAAGGGACACAGUAGGACAUAUUUUCUAAGCAGGGAGAGGUAGUGCAAGUAUUUGCAGACAGCAGAAAUGAAGGAAGAAUACAGAGGUUGAAGAAUGGUCCAGGAGCUCCUUUUAACCAUAGUGUAGGGAGGAGGCUUGGAAUCGCAUACAGUGUAGGAUUCAGUGUUUCUGAACAAGGACUGAACAUGGAUGGGCCUUUACUCUGUGUGAGUCAUGGAAGGCCUGCUUGGACUGCUAUCACUGUGACAAAUACCUAAGAGAAACAACUGAACAGGUCCUUCUCUGUCCAACCCACCCAGGAAACAUGAUCAACCAGAUUACGUGUCGCAUGCGCCAUCUGUGAUGGUGGGAUCUGUGUCUGUUUCCCUCCACUUCCUCUCAUAAUUACUAUGUAGAGAUAGACGCAUACUUACUCUAGACUGAACUCUAACCUGUGCUGCACGUCUGACUGGCUUCCAUCCCCAGGACAGCACAGUGUACAUCCUUGAACCCCACAGUCAGCAGAGUAAAAUCUAUUCUAUAGAUUUGUCAUGACAGCUAAGUCAGAUAAGGCAAAGCUUCUCCAGAUCCUGAUGUUGGCUGUUGAUAUGGCUCCGUGGAGACCUACUAAGAGUAAUAGUGAUUGCUUCUGAGUCAGAAAGGACAACUCCCUUAACGGAUGAUGUGCAGGGUGUAUAGCGUGUAGUGGGCAGAUGUUCAGAUGGCGAGUUCUUCAGCAUUUGUAGAGAUGUGGAAUGUAGUAGGAAGCCUACUGCAGUAGCACAGCUAUGUAUGGAGACUUAGUAUUCAGGCAUACCAGAAACGAUCGCCUCUUUCUUGCCCUGUGAAAUUUUAGAAUGAAUCUUGUUUCCAGACCUCAGGAAAUCACCUGUUUCUCGAUCACAAAUUACCUCAGAUCCUCCCUCCCUAUGGCAGGGUCACGGGGAAGCUACCCUAACAGAGGAAUGAUGGCACUGGGCAGGGGGGUUGGGGAUCGGGAAAUGUUUCUUGUGGACGCCACUUAUUGCUACUACUUUAACACUCACACAUGGUGCUGACUUGGUCCCAUGUACAGGUGAGCACAUGUGUUUACAAAGAAGUUGUGUGCAUCUCAUAAUCCACCCCCACCCUACAUUUUUCCUAUUUUACUGAAAGAAGUGGAUUUUGUCUGUCCCAGUUGAAAACCCAAUAAAUGAGCUGUUCUAGAAUCUAGGUUACAGAACCCACCCAUGGGACUGAUUCAUGGUGACCUGACUCCUUAUUUUUCUUAUCUUCCCUGUGGACUUUUGUUUGUUGUUGUUCGUAUUGCGGGGGGGGGGGGGGCUUCUAUAGAUGUGUUCCAUAUCCUGGAAGGUUAGCAUCAAAUACAAUUAUUUCAAAGUGAAAUCUGUUUAUUUUUAAUCCACACAGGCAGUUUCCCAUUACAGUAAAGCUUUCACAGUUGAGUACCACUGAUCUCUUGUGUUCUUGAAAAUGAUUGGUGAUUAAAAUCACCCCUUUUGCAAGCAGCUACCCACUGGUGCACUCCACAGAGAAUAAUAAACUACCAUCCACAGAAAUAUUAAGACACCACUUAGAGAAUUAGAAUUUUAACCACUUCAUGUGGCUGAGGCACAGGGGCCUUUUCAGCCCAGUGCUAGUUAUUUCAAAAUUGGUAAGGCAGCCCAGCUUAACUCCCUGCUCCCCUGGGGCUGGCUGCCUCCUGCAGUGCUGUGUGAAACUUAACUGUAAUUUGUUGUGACUGAUCCCUAGUGCAAGUGUUAACAGUGGCUACUUGCCAUGAGCAGGAGAGUGAGAGUAAGUGUUGUUUAUGCAGACAAGAAGUGAUACCAAAAUGAGGCUGCAGGUGUGAUUCUAAUUUGCACCUCCAUUUCAUUUGCCUGGAGGCACUACAUCUCUUUGUCAUUAGUUCUGAAUAUAUAUCAUGACAGGGGAAGGCUUACCAAAUGCACCCCUAACAGAUGUGGCAAUCACACUUCUCGCCAGCCCCUCUGUUUUUAUUCAUUCAUGCUUUCCUCAAAUCACUCUGUGCUUGGAGGAAAGGCCCUCACCAGAACUACUCAAGAAUCCAGCCAGCCAGGAGAUGGGAGGAGUGAUGGUGCCAGAGAGCAUGUGGGGCCAUGGUAAGUGUCCCCCCUUUUCCCUGUGACGUAUGAUGUACCUUACAGUGCAUUAUGCAGGCAUAUUUUUGUAUCAGGAGGGUAGAAUUUGAAAACCUCCUCCCGAGGAUCCAAUGGUUCUUUCUGCAGAAUGCCUGCCCUACAAAAUGUUAAACGCUUUUAGAUAAAGGAAUUCAGUGAAAAGGCUUUAAAGGGUCCACGGUGCAUGAUAGAACGUCGAAGAAGCAGAGUUCUGCAGAACAUCAUCAACCCGCCGAACUUUCAUCAUCAGCAUCUAUGCCAAUUUGUAGAAAACUUCUCCACUUAAUAAAUUUUACCUCUCAGAAUGUGAGACCUAUUGAGUGUUGGUAGAUGUUCCUAGGAACAGCAUCAGGGUUCGUGUAUAUUCUUCAAGAGGCCAGCCACUCAGGCUGAGUGCAGUGAGUUUCAACAGUAUGUCCAUGGGACUCUCCUUAUGUUUUGCUGUUGCAAUUGACUUUUUUUAACAGCUUUGUCCUAAAGAAAAUAAAAGCUUAAGUUUAGGAAAUCAAGCUGAGACGGCUGCAUUUUUCAAACAUGGUCGAAAACAGAAAGUCCUGCUAGAAAUCUAAUCUUGGCUGCCUUGGGAAUCUUCACUAGAUGCUGAGAAAGGCUUUUACCUCUUUACCUUAAUUAUUAGAAAGGUGUGUCUGAGGUUUCCAGGGACAUGAAGAUGUUGGUUCAGUUCUAGCGCUUGCUGUGUAAUGCGGAAACAAAGCAUUAAGAGAUGCCUGAUGGAUGAGCGUUGUCUCCCCCACCCCGUUAGAUUAGCAGUAACUACAAAGAUGGGCUUUGAGUCCAAUAUCAAAGUCUUUUAUUUUUAAGACUGUGAUACAUAGUGAGCUUCACUGCCUUCUGAAACCUCCAGGCCAGGGAAUGUAUCUAUAAUGAAGCAAGAGCACUGUUGCCUUUACCAGCUAGCACUUGGUCACUUUAGAAUGUCAUUUUGGCUUUCUUUUCUAUCAGGUAAGAGACAUACCACCCCAACUUUCUGUCUGAAUACCGAGAAAUUCAACAGCCUUCAUAGUGGUCUGUGAUGCCCCAAAGGAUCAUGGCUGCAGCUUGACUCUGCCUGCUCUUUUAAAGGUCAAACCUCAGAAUACCACUUUGUGAAGAGCAUUAUAUUCGAAGAGAAGCACACAGAUGUAAAGCAGGGUUCAAGCAAGGACCAUUUCCACAGCAUCUUCAUGAGACGUCAACACUGAUUAUGCUACUUGCCUAUAUGAACAGAAAGCGGGAAUAAAAAAACCUCGUGGUUUUCCCAAAGUUAGCUCCUUAUAACAGGAAAUUCAUAAGAGGAGAAGUGGCAGGGUUGAGCUGAUCAGUAGAACAGGUGUAAGCACUUUCCUUACUUGCUUAGGGAAAAAAAAAAGAAGGUGGUUGUACGGAAAAGCACAUUUCAUAGCCAGUCACAGCCCAUGGGUUUAAAAACUAGGUGAACAGAAUCCUGGCCUAGGCAUAUGUAGCCCAAAGGUCUUUUAGAGCCGGAUUUUUCCCAGAGAUGGAACCAUUCCAGGGAAAGAAGAGUUCCCAGGACUGGGUUUCUUGAUUUGCUGGCAGGUUUCAGAUAACUGUGCCUGGCCUCGUUUGGGGACUCUGAGGUCUAGGCAGGCAAGUGCUUGUAAGCAGUGCUGACAGGUUAUUUUAUCUUCAAUUAAGUUGUAGCAAGUUGCACCAAGAUCAGAUUGUUCUACCUAAAUUAAAGGUGUUCUUUCUCAUAUUGCAGUCUGUGAAGCAGGGGAGAGAGGCUCAAGCCAGAGUGGAACUGCACAGCAAGAAGCCAGGCAGCUUCACACGCUGAGCCACCAAGCAAGUCAGUGAAUCCUGCCCUACUUUCACUUCGCUUCCUGCACUGUGUGGAAGUCUGAGCCUCUCCUCACAGGCAUAGAAAGGAAGCAAUCCCCUCUGCACAUCUCCUAAGACGGCCUUUAGUUAUAAAGAAGAAUUAAUUUUUACACAGGAAAUGGACAUUAAGCUGCUGUGUCGCCUGUCCUGCAGUCUACCCAAGUCAACACUUAAUCCACCUUCACCUCAUCACCAGAGUAACCUCCCUCUGGGAAGGUGGAAGGUACACAGACGAUGUAAUGCAUGAGGAAGUCUGGCAGGAGAAUGAAUUUGAAGAAUUAGGCAACACUCUGAAACUAAAGAGCCAGCAAGCCUUGAACCAGUGGUGAUAAGUGGGAGUUGUAUAUGAGCAAGAUGAAACUUACUAUGGGUCACAAAGAGAACUGACUGGUGACCACAGUGAAUAAGAACUCAAUGGAUACUUGAGGUUUACUGGAAGAGUAAUGGAGGGUGUGUGGUAGAAAUAUAUUCAUGUAUGAAGAGGUAAUAAUCUGCUAGUAAAGUACAAAUGGAAUCAGUAUAGAGCUAAGACUUGGAUUCGGGCUUUUUUGUUUUUUUGUUUGUCUCAAGAUUUUUCUGUAUUCAAAUGUGAAUCUUUUUAUUACUGAGUAGUAUUCUACAGUACAGAUCUAC